rnacentral:rRNA from 1 species
GUGGCGAACGGGUGAGUAACACGUGAGCAAUCUGCCCUUGACUCUGGGAUAACUGCGGGAAACUGUAGCUAAUACCGGAUACUUUCCUCGCUGGGCAUCCAGCGGGGAAGAAAGAAUUUCGGUCAAGGAUGAGCUCGCGGCCUAUCAGCUAGUUGGUGAGGUAAUGGCUCACCAAGGCGACGACGGGUAGCCGGCCUGAGAGGGCGACCGGCCACACUGGAACUGAGACACGGUCCAGACUCCUACGGGAGGCAGCAGUGGGGAAUAUUGCACAAUGGGCGAAAGCCUGAUGCAGCAACGCCGCGUGAGGGAUGAAGGCCUUCGGGUUGUAAACCUCUUUUAGCAGGGAAGAAGCGAAAGUGACGGUACCUGCAGAAAAAGCACCGGCUAACUACGUGCCAGCAGCCGCGGUAAUACGUAGGGUGCAAGCGUUGUCCGGAAUUAUUGGGCGUAAAGAGCUCGUAGGCGGUUUGUCACGUCUGCUGUGAAAAUCCGAGGCUCAACCUCGGACUUGCAGUGGGUACGGGCAGGCUAGAGUGCGGUAGGGGAGAAGGGAAUUCCUGGUGUAGCGGUGGAAUGCGCAGAUAUCAGGAGGAACACCAAUGGCGAAGGCACUUCUCUGGGCCGUAACUGACGCUGAGGAGCGAAAGCGUGGGGAGCGAACAGGACUAGAUACCCUGUAGUCCAC